CGGCUGGGGGCUUUAUUAGGGGGCACCGGGGUCUGCUUUCCGACUCCCUUCCGACUCCGCGCCUGCGCAGGAAGCGAUUUGGGGAGUGUUGUGAAUUCCGAGGGCUCCACACUUAAGAGGUUGUACACUCACCUGUCUACCUGGACUCCAAUUUCCAUAUUUCCAGCCACUUGAGGACUGAGAGGUGGAUGAUAAACCCUGUCAUAGUGGAGCAAGUUCAGGUGUUUAACCGCUGUUAUGGGGGAUCUGCCUUUUCUCCCUCUUCUUUCUUACUUCCAUAAGUAUGUAUGUGCAGAGAUUGAAAAAUAACCUUGAGAGAGUCCAUCCAUCUAACUCCAGGCAGAAUAGUUGCCUACUGCCCCAACCCCACCAAAUGUUCCAGCACCUCUGAUAUUACCUCACAUGGCAAGAGGGCUUUGAAGAUGUGAUUGAGUCAAGGAUCUUGAAUGGGGAGAUUAUCCUGAAUUAUUCAGCUGGACCCAGUGUAAUCACAAAGGUUUUUCAAAGAUGGAAGAGAGGCAGAAGAGCCAGAAAAGGAUAUGUGACAAUGGAGUCAGUGUCAGAGUUGGAGUGACGUGAUGUGAGAAGGAUUCAACCUGCUGUUUCUGGCUUUGAGGAUGAAAGAAGGGGCCAUGAGCCAAGCAAUACAGGUGGCUUCUUUCAAGAAGUUGGAAAAGGUAAGGAAAUGGGUUCUCACCUAGAACUGCUGGAAAGCAACCCAGCCCUACUGACACCAUGAUUUUAGCUCAGUGAGACUCUGUCCAGAUUUCUGACCUCUAGAACUAUAAGAUAAUAAAUUUGCAUUGUUUUAAGCCACUAAGUUUGUGGUAAUUUGAUAAAGCAUCAACAAAAAAUGAACACUUCUUCCCAGCAGGACUCCUUUUGAAGACCAGUUCUGUAUACAUCAUCGUAUCCAGUUGGUAAUAUUUUAUGUUAUUUUGGUUUGAUUUUUGUUUGUGGCAUAUGGCUCUGCUGUCCUGUGACUCUAAGUAGAAGAGAAAAUAGUGCCAAUAAUUCUUCAUGGAGAUGCACCUCUCUCAAGUCUUGAACAAUGUUUGAGGAAACAUUGCAGCGUUAUAAGAGAAAUUAUAGACUAUUUGUUGAAGCUCAGCAUGUCCAUCUCCCUGCUUUGAAGAAGGCAAGCUUCAUUAAAACCAACAUCUUACUUGGCCUAAAACAUCUUUGGAGUAGGAGAUUUAUGGCCUUUCUGGGAAAGUAGUUCUAAUUUUUAUAAACCUUAGAAUUAAGAAGUUCUUUUGUAAAUACAAUUAUAAUUCUUUCUUCUCGA
rnacentral:lncRNA from 1 species